rnacentral:tRNA from 1 species
UCCCUCAUGGCUCAGAUGGUAAAAGCAUCUGCUUGCAAUGCAGGAGACCCGGGUUCGAUCCCUGGGUGGAGAA